rnacentral:rRNA from 1 species
AAAACUUUCAACAACGGAUCUCUUGGUUCCGGCAUCGAUGAAGAACGCAGCGAAAUGCGAUAAUUAAUGUGAAUUGCAGAAUUCAGUGAAUCAUCGAGUCUUUGAACGCACAUUGCGCCCCCUGGUAUUCCGGGGGGCAUGCCUGUCCGAGCGUCAUUGC